rnacentral:rRNA from 1 species
AUACGUAGGGGGCGAGCGUUGUCCGGAAUGAUUGGGCGUAAAGGGCGCGUAGGCGGCGCGGUAAGUCUGGAGUGAAAGUCCUGUUUUUAAGAUGGGAAUUGCUUUGGAUACUGUCGGGCUUGAGUGCAGGAGAGGUAAGUGGAAUUCCCAGUGUAGCGGUGAAAUGCGUAGAGAUUGGGAGGAACACCAGUGGCGAAGGCGACUUACUGGACUGUAACUGACGCUGAGGCGCGAAAGUGUGGGGAGCAAACAGGAUUAGAUACCCUGGUAGUCCACACUGUAAACGAUGAAUGCUAGGUGUAGGGGGUAUCGACCCCUUCUGUGCCGCAGUCAACACAAUAAGCAUUCCGCCUGGGGAGUACGGCCGCAAGGUUGAAACUCAAAUGAAUUGACGGGG